CACGGCUAAGAAUAAUGAGCUGCACGAACCAGCGGCCUGCCAUUUGCUUUCCCUAAGUACACUUUCCCCUCGGCGCUCCACCGCCGGCCAUUUGUCCCCGGAACAGCAAAACCGUGCUGUUUCCCCGCGCUGCUUCCGGUCGAUGGAAUUCGCUCGCCGAGGCCACGGCGACGAGGACAUCGACGACAUGCACCGCUUCAUCGACCUUCCGCCGCCUCACGUGGACCCAUUGCUGGUGAUUAGGGAAGCGCUGCUGUCACAGCUUCAGAAGGAUCGUCUUCGCCAGGAGAUCAUCCAGGUUGAGUUGGCUAAGAUAGAGCGUGCCAUGGUCCUGUGCAAGUGCAACAGCUCACAUCAUGGUAUUGCCGCUGAUGAUGUGGAAUGGACUAAGCCUGCUCCCUUCACCUUCAGGGAGCAGUCCAUGCGACCUUGGCGAUGGUCAGUCAGUCAAGAAUGUUAUGUCGAUGUGGAUGAGGUCCAUGAUCGAAAGCAAAAGGAGGGAAGGCACAGGAGUGUAGUGUUGAAGUCUGAGAAGCCUGCCAUGGAAGAUGGUGAAUGCUUGAGACCUUGUUGUAAUGGUAAGGCAAGUCAGGAGAAUUCAAAAGUCGAAGAUCAGAAAUCACAAGAAUCCAGUGAGACCAUACAGCCCAAGACGACUUUGCCUUCAGUGAAAUGGGAACUGACAGGAAUAACAAUACCAGUUAAGAAAAAGAAACGACACCAGAAACUGAGUUGUGAAAUCUGCCAGGUGCAAGCAACUAGUGAGCACAGCUUACAAGAACAUCGUGCAGGGCGUAAGCACCAAUUAAAAGAAGCAAUUAAUCAGAAGGUACAAUUAACAGAGGAAUCCUCUUCCAGCACAGAGCAGAAAACAUCCUCGAUAAAAUGGAGCUGCAGUACAUGCCAGGCCAACAGUACAAGCGAAUCAGACAUGAAGGAGCAUCUAAAUGGAAGAACACACCGACAAAACAUUAAAGCGCAACUCAUGGAGAGUGAUGGCAUUGCUAAGACUAAUGAGCUGCAGGAACCAGAGUGCCCUAAGAACAAUGCACCACAACAUUCAGAGAAGCCACCUCCGAUGAGUUCUACCCAUUGCCUAGCGAACUCUACUCAUGAAUUGGAGUUACGAGGGCACCUUUUAGCUAAGCCUCAAGCUCUACUGGACGAAAUCAGUAACCUGUCAAGGAAUUCUGAGUCGCGAGAAGCCACGGUGCUUCCGAACAUUGCACCGCAACAUACAGAGCAGACUCCAGGAUCAAAUUGUAGCAUACUUCAAGCUGAUUCUGAUUGCAAAUUAGACUUGGAGCACCAAUUUGGAGCGAAGAUACACCAACUGAAUGUCCAGGACCUACUUGAAGAAGCCAAGAAAACAGGAGAUUUUCCACCAGAAAUUGCCAAGGACCAGCAACCGCCCUCUGAAUGGGGUUGUGUUAUCUGUCAGGCAAAAUGUUACUCCGCACCUCAAUUCGCUCAGCACUGCAGAGGCAAGAAACACCAAAAGAAGGUGGAGGCACUACAAGGAGGCGUGGAUGCCAAAUCAAGCAAUCUGACGACAGUGCACAAAGCAGCUUCAAAUGGUUCUGACAGCAACAGUUCGAGUUCAGAGAAGGUGGAGGAUCAGACAGCAUUGUGGUCGUGCGGGAUUUGCAAUCCGCAGUGCAACAGCGAGAGUAUGCUUGCAGGCCAUUGUGAGGAGGAGGAACAUAUGGAGAAACAUAAGUUGCGGUAUUUCUGCGAGGUCUGCAAUUUGAAGUGCAACAGCGAAAAGAUGCUUGCUCACCAUCUUUGUGGGAGUAAGCACCAGAAAAGGCUCAGUGCGAACAAACGAAAUGCAGUUGUGGCUU